rfam:Aedes albopictus isolate Foshan contig60037, whole genome shotgun sequence.
UAGCCUAGUGGUUAAGGCUACGGAUCAUCAAUCCGGAGACGGCGGGUUCGAUUCCCGU